rnacentral:rRNA from 1 species
GACGAAGGAUGCAAGCGUUAUCCGGAUUCAUUGGGUUUAAAGGGUGCGUAGGUGGUCUUAUAAGUCAGUGGUGAAAUCUCGCAGCUUAACUGCGAAACUGCCAUUGAUACUGUAGGACUUGAGUAUAGUUGCUGUGGGCGGAAUAUGACAUGUAGUGGUGAAAUACUUAGAGAUGUCAUAGAACACCGAUUGCGAAGGCAGCUCACAAAACUAUAACUGACACUGAGGCUCGAAAGUGCGGGGAUCAAACAGG